rnacentral:miRNA from 1 species
AGGGCGAGGGGCCCUGUGAUUUCAAGAAGGCUGUCUGAGGGCCACAAGCGCUGUCCUCCCCUCCAG